rnacentral:rRNA from 1 species
GAUUUCUGACGUGUUGCAUUGAGCCGGCCACGGUUUCGUGUGUGUGUGUUCUCUGCUCGCGUCAUCCUUCCAAGCGCCGUUCGUCUCUCUUCACUGAUUGGCGGGCGGUGUUGGAUCUUUUACUUUGAACAAAUUAGAGUGUUUCAAGCAGGCUUUAUGCUAUGAAUACAUUAGCAUGGAAUAAUAAUUUAGGACUUCGGUUCUAUUUUGUUGGUUUCUAGGACUGAAGUAAUGAUUGAUAGGGACAGUUGGGGGUGCUAGUAUUCAGCGGCCAGAGGUGAAAUUCUCGGAUUCGCUGAAGACUAACUUAUGCGAAAGCAUU